CGAUUAGUGGAAACGCUCAAGAUUUCUAACGAUUCGGCUUAGUAUUGUUUGUUCGGUCACAAUCUAGACCAGAAACCCUAAUUUCAUGGCGAUGCGGUUUACGAACAAACAGAUCUGUGGAUAGAAUGCCCUAGCUGCCGCCUCCAGCAGUGAAGGCUAGGGUUCCGACAAGUUGAUCCUGAGCAAGUCCAAUUUUAAUGAUAUGUGUUGAAGGAUGUGCGACAGAGAUCUAGGGUUAGAUCUGGCAAUAGUUUUGGAUGAUUUUGGGUCUGUUAUUGUGUUAGGAGAUGUCGUGUUUAGGCUGAACA